rnacentral:rRNA from 1 species
UACGUAGGGGGCGAGCGUUAUCCGGAUUUACUGGGCGUAAAGCGCGUUAAGGCGGUUGGCAAAGUUGGUUGUGAAAUCUCAGGGCUCAACUGGGAGGCGUCGUUCAAUACUACCGGACUUGAGGGCAUCAGAGGAAGGUGGAAUUCCCGGUGUAGUGGUGAAAUGCGUAGAUAUCGGGAGGAACACCAGUGGCGAAGGCGGCCUUCUGGGAUGCAUCUGACGCUCAGACACGAAAGCUAGGGGAGCGAACGGG